GGGCAGGCUGUUUUGGCUCUGCUUCUACAGACCUAUGCAGCAGGUUUUGUAUUGGGUUCAACCUACAGGCCAAUAGAUGACAUUUGCAGGUGAAGAGCUGGAUAGUGGGGUUCCUGGUGUUCCGUGGAAGAGGCCGGACACAAUUGGGCAGAGCUGGAGCCUCUGGCUUGCCCAUGUGUAUCCCAAUGGCAAGCACAGGCACCAGCCCUGAAAAGGGUGGCUGGGAGAUGCUCUUAGGGACAUGCCCCAGAGAUCUCUGUGUGGGGCAGAGUGAGGAGGCUUCACUGGCUCCCGCAUGGUAGACAGACAUGAACAGAAUCUAUUUCCCUAUCACACCCAUUGCAGGUACUUCAGAUGCACACUGUAGUCUAUCUCCAGACCACAGUGUGGUUGAUUGAAAGCCUCAGGAAACCUUGUUUUCCAGAAGAAAAUAAACUUGAUGUUUUCUUUGGGCCUA